CAUGUCUUUUUGUUGAUGAUUUAAAGUCUGGCCUGCUCAAUGAUUUUUAAAUUGCCGCAGUAUUUUGACUGUGCAAAGGUAGCAUAAUAAUUAGUUUCUUGAUUAGGGGCUUGAAUGAAGGGUUGAACAAGAAAAUUUCUGUCUCUAUUUUAUUAUUGUUGAAUUUUAUUUUUAAGUUAAAAAGCUUAAAUUUUUUUAAAAGACGAGAAGACCCUAUAGAGUUUUAUAAUUUGAUUGUAUUAGUUUUUAGAAAAUUUAAUUUAUUUUAAUUAUUUGAUUGGGGUGAUUCAGUAAUUUAUUAAAUUUAUUGAUUUUUUAUUAUUGAUGAUUUUUAAAUUUAAAAUUUUUUAUCUUAAGUUUAAAUUAAAUUACCUUAGGGAUAACAGCGUAAUUUUUCUUGAAAGUUCUCAUUAAAAGAAGAGUUUGCGACCUCGAUGUUGGAUUAAAAUAAAUUUUUGGUGCAGUAGCUUAUGAAUUAGGUCUGUUCGACCUUUAAAAUUUUACAUGAUCUGAGUUUAGACCGGCGUGAGCCAGGUUAGAUUCUAUCUUUAGGAUUAUUAUAAUAUUUUAGUACGAAAGGACCAAUUAUUAAUUAAAUUAAUUG
rnacentral:rRNA from 1 species